rnacentral:rRNA from 1 species
UUACCAGGUCUUGACAUACUCGUGCUAUUCCUAGAGAUAGGAAGUUCCUUCGGGACACGGGAUACAGGUGGUGCAUGGUUGUCGUCAGCUCGUGUCGUGAGAUGUUGGGUUAAGUCCGCAACGAGCGCAACCCCUAUUGUUAGUUGCCAUCAUUAAGUUGGGCACUCUAACGAGACUGCCGGUGAUAAACCGGAGGAAGGUGGGGAUGACGUCAAAUCAUCAUGCCCCUUAUGACCUGGGCUACACACGUGCUACAAUGGAUGGUACAACGAGUCGCGAGACAGUGAUGUUUAGCUAAUCUCUUAAAACCAUUCUCAGUUCGGAUGUAGGCUGCAACUCGCCUACAUGAAGUCGGAAUCGCUAGUAAUCGCGGAUCAGCACGCCGCGGUGAAUACGUUCCCGGGCCUUGUACACACCGCCCGUCACACCACGGGAGUUGGGAGUACCCGAAGUAGGUUGCCUAACCGCAAGGAGGGCGCUUCCUAAGGUAAGACCGAUGACUGGGGUGAAGUCGUAACAAGGUAAGCGUAGCGAG